rnacentral:rRNA from 1 species
CCCUUAGAUGUCCUGGGCCGCACGCGCGUUACACUGAUUCAUUCAACGAGCUUAUAACCUUGGCCGAGAGGCCUGGGCAAUCUUGUUAACGUGCAUCGUGAUAGGGAUAGAUUAUUGAAAUUAUUAAUCUUGAACGAGGAAUUCCUAGUAAACGCAGAUCAUCAAUCUGCAUUGAUUACGUCCCUGCCCUUUGUACACACCGCCCGUCGCACCUACCGAUUGGAUGGUCCGGUGAAGCCUCGGGAUUGUGGUUCUUGCCGCUUUAUUGUGGCGUGACCGCGAGAACUUGUCUAAACCUUAUCAUCUAGAGGAAGGUGAAGUCGUAACA